ensembl:lncRNA
GUCUCUUGUCAUGUAGUAUUAUGGCGUUGUGAGGUCUCUUGUCAUGUAGUAUUAUGGCGUUGUGAGGUCUCUUGUCAUGUAGUAUUAUGGUGUUGUGAGGUCUCUUGUCAUGUAGUAUUAUGGUGUUGUGAGGUCACUUGUCAUGUAGUACCAUGGCGUUGUGAGGUCACUUGACAUGUGUCUUGUCAUGUAGUACUAUGGUGUAAUGUGGUUUCUGUCUUUUGUCAGUAUAUCCAUUUAUUUUCAUUUUGCAUUCCAUCCAGACCUCUGCCACAAGAUGCAUUUUCCCUCAUGCCUGGGCAUCAUUGUAAAUAAGAAUAUGUUCCUAACUGAGUUGAUUGGUUGCAAUGGUUAACUAUAAAUACAAAAAUAAAUAUAGUCAUGGCACGUGUGGUUGUCAGAAAUCUUCUAAAAGGCAGCAGAAGCCAACAAGACACGCUAGACGAUACCGAGUGACAAAAACAAAAAUGAGAAUGAUCAGGGUGUUGUGUAACUGAUACUUGUUUAUGGGUUUUAUUACAGAUGAUAAAUCAGAGGCCUACUGGCCAGGAGUAUGUGAGGAAGUUAGACCUGAUUAUGCCAUAGGUGAUAAGUUGUUCCAUGAAAUCACGCUUUAUUUGAGUUGUUUGAAAUAAACACGGCAGCUGCUCGCCUUAACCUUCCGGAGUGUGGAUGAACAGAUUUCUGUCAGACGCUGUGCUGGAAGUCUUUUCAGGGUCAAUGCUGAUAGUUCUGCAUCACACUGCACUGCACUGGCUUGGGUUUCAUCUUCACACAACCCUUUAUAGUGCAGUUUCAGAAACUAGGGGAAUUUUGUAACCAGGCCGACUCGGUAUAGCUUGGCUCAGAUGUGUUAAAACAGUUUGCCUGUUCCUCUUCAGCUAUGUUUCGCGUUCGGGCAGCUGUGUGUUCAUUCAUCUGUUUUCCAAGUUCGCCAAACAACAGAGGCGACUCACCCACUCCGGGAGUGCCAGUCUCCCAUUCAACAUGGCUACAGUAAGCCCGUGCCUCGCAGCCACAGAUACCGUACAUGUAGCUGACACUCUUAUUCGGAGCAACAUGUAGUAACUACAGCACGCUAAGGUUUGUUUUAGUUGGCGGGGGAGGACCGAGAUUAGGAUUUAGGAUUGUAAGAUACCAAUUAAACAUGUCCUUAACCAGCAGCUUCUCCGGGGCCCGUAAAAUAAAACCUGAAUACACAUGUACGGUAGGAGGUAAACCUAUAUUUAAAAUGAAUAGAACGUGAAGCUGGGUAGGUAACUAGAUUCAGCUCCGGGCCUGUUGUUGUCAGGACGGAUGGUCGGGGGGGGGGGGUGUCAUUAUAAUAACUUUCAAAUGUCAUCUCUACACUGCAAGAUGAGCACCCCCCCCCCAAAAAAAAAUGUUUUAUUUGAAAAUAAAAUGACGGUGGGGUCUGUUCUUGCCAACCCCGAACACACAGAAUACAAAUAGAGCAGCCCAUUACAUUUGUUUGCCAUUCGUUUUAACCUUGAACAGGUUUAAUUAUAGUUGCUGCUCUGAAGGCGGGAAGUGUUUUUCUAGCCUUGAGCAGCCCUAUUAUAUCCUCAUGUUGGAUGUUCCGCAAACAAAGGACAAAAUACAUAUUAAAUGGCAGUGAAUCACACAAUCUCCUGUAAUACAAUAAUAACAACCUGGCAAUCUGUUGCUUUUCUUAGAAAACAUAUUGAACAUUGCAAAGCUCUGUACCUAUUAAGGAAAUGAACAGGGUCCCCUUGAACUCUGACCUUGCCAUCAUAUACUGCCCUUAAUGGGGCUUCUGAUGGCAUCGUGCAGUUAGACCUGAUCAAAUGAAUUUGGGGGUUGCCAUGACAAAAAGAGGGCCAGAUUGAACAUUUAAACAGAACAUCAGGGAUAACAUUUCAACUCUUAUGAUCAGUGUCACGGGAUCUCUAGUGACCACAGAGAAUGAGCACUGAAACAUGGCACUCUACAGUGGUUGCUAUGCUGGGUGCUAUACAGUGAUGUGUAGGUUGCUCUGUUGGGUGCUAUACAGUGAUGUGUAGGUUGCUAUGCUGGGUGCUAUACAGUGAUGUGUAGGUUGCUCUGUUGGGUGCUAUACAGUGAUGUGUAGGUUGCUCUGUUGGGUGCUAUACAGUGAUGUGUAGGUUGCUAUGCUGGGUGCUAUACAGUGAUGUGUAGGUUGCUCUGUUGGGUGCUAUGCAGUGAUGUGUAGGUUGCUCUGUUGGGUGCUAUACAGUGAUGUGUAGGUUGCUAUGCUGGGUGCUAUACAGUGAUGUGUAGGUUGCUAUGUUGGGUGCUAUUCAGUGCUAUGUGGCUAGCCUCUGUGGUACAUACACUUACACCUACCUAGAUUGUUUAUAUGAACAUACCUGGUCACGGUAGACUUCCGUGUGAUAACAAAACAGAACCCAGCCUUAGAAGGCAGUGAGUCUCAUUUGGGUAUCACUGUUUUGCAUGACUCCUUGUAAACGACCAGGGGAGGAAAACCCAAAAGCCUCCUUGGCCUUCCAGUGAACACUGUUUUCAGCUGGCAGUGUUCUAAUGUUUCCUGCUGUGUUAGUACACUUCAAACACACACACACAAAGACACACCUCUGAUUGUUUUUGUCCAUGCCACAAAGACCCAAUACAAUAGGCCUGCUAAUCCGC